rnacentral:rRNA from 1 species
ACGGAGGGUGCAAGCGUUGUUCGGAAUCACUGGGCGUAAAGCGCGUGUAGGCGGUUCGAUAAGUCGGACGUGAAAGCCCGGGGCUUAACCCCGGAAGGGCAUCCGAAACUGUCGAGCUUGAGUACGGGAGAGGGAAGCGGAAGUCCUGGUGUAGAGGUGAAAGUCGUAGAUAGCAGGAGGAACACCGGUGGCGAAGGCGGCUUCCUGGACCGAUACUGACGCGGAGACGCUAACUCGUUGUGAGCCAACAGUAUUAGAUCCCACCGGAGUCC